rnacentral:misc_RNA from 1 species
GAUGAAGAACGUAGUGAAAUGCGAUAAGUAAUGUGAAUUGCAGAAUUCAGUGAAUCAUCGAAUCUUUGAACGCACAUUGCGCCCCUUGGUAUUCCAUGGGGCAUGCCUGUUCGAGCGUCAUUUGUACCUUCAAGCUCUGCUUGGUGUUGGGUGUUUGUCUCGCCUCUGCGUGUAGACUCGCCUCAAAACAAUUGGCAGCCGGCGUAUUGAUUUCGGAGCGCAGUACAUCUCGCGCUUUGCACUCAGAACGACGACGUCCAAAAGUACAUUUUUACACUCUUGACCUCGGAUCAGGUAGGGAUACCCGCUGAACUUAAGCAUAUCAAUAAGCGGAGGA